rnacentral:rRNA from 1 species
AUCCUCCGUGGGCGUAAGAGAAUUGAGAGGAUCUGUCCCUAGUACGAGAGGACCGGGAUGGACAAACCUCUGGUGUACCAGUUGUCGACCAACGGCACCGCUGGUUAGCUACGUUUGGAAUGGAUAACCGCUGAAAGCAUCUAAGCGGGAAGCCAACUUCAAGAUGAGUUCUCUUUUUGGUAAGACCCCUUGUAGACUACGAGGUUGAUAGGACGCAGGUGUAAGUGCAGCAAUGUAUUCAGCCGAGCGUUACUAAUCGGUCGAGCUCUUUUACACA